rnacentral:rRNA from 1 species
GCUGGCGGCGUGGCAUUAGGCAUGCAAGUCGGGCGAUCCUUUUAUUGGCUCUGCAUUUUGACGCAAGGAGAAAUGCAGGAUCGGUUUUAGGAUAGCGGCAGACGGGUGAGUAACACGUGGGUAAUUUACCUCUAUAUUGGGGAUAGCCUUACGAAAGCGAGGGUAAUACCUAAUGUGUCCAGUUCUACUUAAGUAGAACUGGGUAAAGGCAUCCGUAAGGAUGUUGUAUAGAGAUGAGCUCGCGCCUUGUCAGCUAGUUGGUAGGGUAAUGGCCUACCAAGGCUUUUGACGGG